CCCAGAGCCGCAGGCCGGGCCCAUGCCAUUGCUUCAGCUUCCCUUCGGGUUUCUGUUAGGUCUCUGGUGAAUGCUGUUACCAGCAUCAUCUGUAGCCACAUCCAGUUAUUUGGAUUUGCCUGAAUGCGCAAUUUUAGGUGUCUCUGGCUUCGGGAGAAAAGAAAAUUCCAAAUAGAAUUGAGAAGGUUUCCACUUCAACUCACCUAGCUUCCCACAGCCUGGAAUUGGAGUUAGAAUCUUCUCAUCACUUUGUUGUCUGGUACUUUCGCUACUGUUUCAUCUUAGCCCUCAAUGGGAUUUUUUUUCUUUCUUCACGGAGACAGGGUCUCCCUAUGUACUUCAGGCUGUCCUUGAACUCUUUAUUAUAGCCCAGGCUAGUGUGAAAUUUGCAGCAAUCCUCCUUCCUCAGCCUCCUGAGUGCUGGGACUACAGGCAUGCACCACCACUCCCUGCUCAAUGCUGGAAUGUAGCCAUGAUGCCUGCAAAGUGUUACUAUCACCCAUGACCAUGAGGGAAAAGUCAUUUGAAUAACAGAAAUGAG
rnacentral:lncRNA from 1 species